UACGUAGGGAGCAAGCGUUAUCCGGAUUUACUGGGUGUAAAGGGUGCGUAGGCGGUUUGGUAAGUCAGAAGUGAAAUUUUUGGGGGCUCAACCCCCAGAGCUGCUUCUGAAACUGCUGAACUAGAGUGUGGGAGAGGAAAGUGGAAUUCCGAGUGUAGCGGUGAAAUGCGUAGAGAUUCGGAGGAACACCAGUAGCGAAGGCGCUUUCUGGACCAUAACUGACGCUGAGGCACGAAAGCGUGGGGAGCAAACAGG
rnacentral:rRNA from 1 species